rnacentral:sRNA from 1 species
UGAGCUCACUAUUUUUUAUUUUGUUUGACAACACCAGAUCCAGUCCAAAUCUUCAGAGUGCCUUAUUGAAAGCAUCUAUAAAAUACCAACAAACAAUGCUGUCCGAAUUUUCCAGCCUAAGACUUCAGAAGGCCUAACUAAAAUUAUUACUCCAACCUGUAUUGCUGACCAAACUCUUAAUGAUUGCAAAUGCCCAACUGAAACUGAUCCUGUGUAUGUUAGUAUGGCUUGCCAAACUGUGAGUGAUU